rnacentral:tRNA from 1 species
GCGCGGUUAGCUCAGAGGAAGAGCACUACCUUGACACGGUAGGGGUCGCAGGUUCAAGUCCUGCAUCGCGCACCA